UCCUAGCCCUGAUAGAAGUGGAAAUCCUUUUUUGAGAAAGCCUAUUUUUUAUGGUUUUUGCAGAGCGACCGGAGCAAGCUCCUGCAAAGACCAAUAAAAAAAGGUUUUGGAGAAAAAGAUUGCAACGGAUAGCAGGAUUAGCU
rnacentral:sRNA from 1 species